GGGCCCGCACAAGCAGCGGAGCAUGUGGUUUAAUUCGAAGCAACGCGAAGAACCUUACCAGGUCUUGACAUCCAGGUAAACUUGCAGAGAUGCAAGGUGUGCUUGCACAAUCUGAGACAGGUGGUGCAUGGUUGUCGUCAGCUCGUGUCGUGAGAUGUUGGGUUAAGUCCCGCAACGAGCGCAACCCUUGUGAUUAGUUACUAACGGGUAAAGCCGAGGACUCUAAUAAGACUGCCGGGGACAACUCGGAGGAAGGUGGGGACGACGUCAAAUCAUCAUGCCCCUUAUGACCUGGGCUACACACGUGCUACAAUGGCCACGACAGAGAGCAGCGAUACCGUAAGGGGGAGCUAAUCUCAUAAAAGUGGUCCCAGUUCGGAUUGUGGGCUGCAACCCGCCCACAUGAAGUCGGAGUUGCUAGUAAUCGCGGAUCAGCAUGCCGCGGUGAAUACGUUCCCGGGCCUU
rnacentral:rRNA from 1 species